rnacentral:rRNA from 1 species
GACGUAGGGCGCGAGCGUUGUCCGGAUUUAUUGGGCGUAAAGAGCUCGUAGGCGGUCUGUCGCGUCUGCCGUGAAAACCCGAGGCUUAACCUCGGGCUGGCGGUGGAUACGGGCAGACUAGAGGUAGGUAGGGGAGAAUGGAAUUCCCGGUGUAGCGGUGAAAUGCGCAGAUAUCGGGAGGAACACCGGUGGCGAAGGCGGUUCUCUGGGCCUUACCUGACGCUGAGGAGCGAAAGCGUGGGGAGCGAACAGG